rnacentral:rRNA from 1 species
AAUGAACGCUGGCGGCAUGCCUUACACAUGCAAGUCGAACGGCAGCAUGACCUAGCUUGCUAGGUUGAUGGCGAGUGGCGAACGGGUGAGUAAUGCAUCGGAACGUGCCUUUUAGUUGGGGAUAACGUAGCGAAAGUUACGCUAAUACCGCAUAUUCUCUGAGGAGGAAAGCAGGGGACCUUCGGGCCUUGCGCUAGAAGAGCGGCCGAUGUCGGAUUAGCUAGUUGGUGAGGUAAAGGCUCACCAAGGCAACGAUCCGUAGCGGGUCUGAGAGGAUGAUCCGCCACACUGGGACUGAGACAAGGCCCAGACUCCUACGGGAGGCAGCAGUGGGGAAUUUUGGACAAUGGGCGCAAGCCUGAUCCAGCCAUGCCGCGUGAGUGAAGAAGGCCUUCGGGUUGUAAAGCUCUUUCGGCUGGGAAGAAAUCGCACCCUCUAAUACAGGGUGUGGAUGACGGUACCAGCAUAAGAAGCACCGGCUAACUACGUG